rnacentral:lncRNA from 1 species
AAAGUUUGGGAGAAUAUAUGCUUGUAUUGCUACUCAAUGCUUUACAAGUUGUGAGGUGAGGAUACACAUUGUGUCAUCCUCCUUAUAUACUUUCUCUAUCCCACCUAUGAUCAUGGUAGGUGGCUAAGAUACAAUGUCACCUACCGGCAUCUACCAACUAUUGUCACCAACCGUAGUCUACCUACUACUGUACAACGAAUAUGGACAUGUGGGCUAAGAGGUCUAGCAUGAUCAAUCCAACGGGUUGGGCCUUGAACAUGCGGGCCGUGACAUUCUCCCCCACCUAAUCCUGUAACGUCCUCGUUACCGCGGUAGAUCCUUCUCGUUCGAAUGCUUCGAUGAUGUCUUUGUUCUUCCACAAGGACUCUUCUUUCUCCCAAUUGCCUUCGGACUCUGGCAGGCCCUUCCAUUUGACAAAGUACUCAAAGUACCUCAGUACACCCUUGCGUCGCACCUCUCACUUAGCCAUGAUGCAUUCAACCUCCCUGUCAAAUGAAGUCACCAUCAAAGGUAGAGCUCGUGGAGACUCUCCACGACUUGGCUCCUCGGUGUCGGCAUGGUAGGGCUUGAGAUUGCUCACAUAGAACACCAUAUGAAUCUUCAAUCGAGGUGGUAGUUCCACAUGGUAAGCAGCUCUUCCCACUGAUCGGAUGAUAGGAAAUAGACCAUCAUAUCUCCUCAACAACGCCUUGUGCAAUCUUCUAAUGGACUUGUGUUGAGAAGGGUUGACCUUCACAAAGACCAGAUCACUUGGUUGGAACACAACAUCCCGCCGAUGCUUGUCCGCCCAUUUCUUCAUCUCCCGAGUUGCCUUCUCCAAUUGAGCCCGAGCCAGCCCAUUAGUCACCUGCCACUCCUUGGUUGUCUUGUAUGCAGCAUGGCUACUUCCCGUGUAGCUAACACCACUGUGUUCGGUGUCAUAGGUUGUUAUCCUGUUGCCAACUCAAAAGGACUUGACCAUGUUGACUCCGACCGCUGCAAGUUGUACAAGAACUGAGCAACAUCCAACAACUUUGCCCAAUCUCGCUGGUUGGCACUCACAUUGUGCCUUAGAUUGUCCCACUUUGGAGCAUAGAUCAUCUUCCCUGUUGCAUAAAGAACACCAUCAUCGAGCCAAAAUCUUCUUGUCUUCCCAUCUUUGACAAGCUCCAACAGACUUUUGGUUUGGGGAUCGUGCAACAAGCCCUCUCAUAUCCUUUGCUCCGUGUCACUGAGCUUUCGACUCUCGAAAGCUAAUGGGUGUCCAUCCUGCAUGUGUACACCACCAAUAGAAAAAUCUGAUGCAUCAGUGUGUACCUCCCAAGGUUUGCUAAGAUCGGGUAGUCUUAGCAUUGGUUCCUCCAUAGGUGCCCUCUUCAACUCAUCGAAGGCAUGAUCCACCUCUCUCCUAGGUGGUAAGGCUUUGGGCAGCUCCUUAGGCAUGACAUCUGCAAACUCUUUGCCUCCAUCACUUUAGGGACUGGUUUGACUUCUUUCUUAACUGUGUCCGUCUUCAUAGUUGCAAGGAACGUCCGUUCGCCCUUCUUCCAAGACUUGGAAAAUUGCAUGGCUGACAAAAGCUUCGUCUCACCUUGUUGCCUCACUACUGGCACCAUGCAUGGCAUUGUUCCACCCUGUGCAAUGCACAUAGUAUUGUAAAAUGGAAUGGGAAAUGCCUUUACCUUGUCCAUGAACUUCAUUCCUAGCACGACAUCGUAGUCAUCCAUCGAGAUCACGGAGAAGUCAGAUACUCCCUUCCAAGUGGCAAUGUGUAGCUCCACAUCACGAGCUACUUCAUCAAUGGGCUUGGCAGUUGAAUUCACCGUCUUCAUACUGCCUGCUUCCUUUGAGACUCGACACCCAAGUAUCUUUGCUUCCUGCACAGACAUAAAGUUGUGCAAAGCACCUGUAUCCACCAGGCAACGAGUUGUCUUGCCAUUCACCAUGGCGUCGACGAACAUCACUCAUUUAGCUUGAACCUGUGGUUGAGCUCCUUUGGCCUGCAAGGCAUUGAAGCGAUGAAUGGCCCUCAUUCCUGCUUCCCUGUCGGCCUCCUCUUCCUUCUCUUGGUUCAUAGGAUUCAGAGCUUUCUUUUGCGGACAAUCCCGCAUCAUGUGCGCUCUAUCGCACAAGUAGCAAGCUAGCUUCGACUUGUAUUUUCCCUUGUCACCUUUGUCAUUCUUCUUCCAGGAUGACUUGUGACUGUCAGACUUGUCUCCUGACUUGCUACCCUCUUUUGGCUUGUUGUCUCUCCCAGCAGAUCCAUUGUUAUCUUUCUUUUCUUUGAACUUGGAGUCGCCUUGAUCACUCCUCUUGAACUCAACAAGAGACUCAGCUGCAGCAAUAGCCUCUGACAAGGUUUGGAUGUGUCUCCUUGGUAACUCCAGCUUGGCCCAAUUUUGUAGGCCACUCAUGAAGUACAUGAGUUUGUCUUCAUCUGCCAUGCUAGGCACCUCGAACAAUAGGUUGGUGAACGUGGCGACAUAGUCCUUCACGCUCCCAGUUUGCUUUAGCCAUCUCAGCUUCUCCUUUGCCUCAUACUUGACAUUCUCUGGAUAGAAAUGCAACAUAAUAUCCUUAUUAAAAUCAUCCCAAGUCUCAAGUGUAAACGUACCUUGUUCGAUCUCCAUAGAUCAAUGACGCCACCACAUGAGAGCAUUAUCGGCGAGAAACAACGUUUCCGUAUUGAUCUUGAGCUCAUCAUCCUCGAGCUUCAGAUACUUGAAAUACCUUUCGAUAUUUCACAAGAAAGUGUCCAGCUUCUUCGCCUCCCUCUUCCCAUUAUAGGACUUGGGCUUGAAAGAAUCUAGCACCUUGGGUUCCUUCGGAGUCCUGGUCUUGUUCAAGACAGCUUCCUUGCACAAAGCCCAAUCUCCCUUCACAUCCUUCACCUCAUCACGAAGCGAAGUAAGCUCCACUAAGAAGUGAUCCAUCUUGGUUUGAACAUCUAGCUUGAUGCUGUCUAGCGCGGAGUUGAGGGCUUCCUGGAAUUGGCCUUGAAGCUCUUCCACCACAGCUUCGAAGCCCGUCUUCGUAAGGACGUCCUCCUCGAGUCGCUGAUCGAACUCGACCACGUCAAUCGCCAUCUUAGAAAGCCGCUUCUCCAUUAUGGCUACCACAUGUCUAGAUCGUUCCCUAUUUGAUUUGCCCCCACGAUCCAUAUUGACCUUGGACAGGUCUGUCUCCACAUCUGAUCCGCUCUUCGACAUGCUUCUUCGAAUGAUUCGAGCUUUCGCUCUGAUACCAACUGUCAAGGGAUGACUUUUUCGGAGUCUUCCUUACGUGCGGCCUUAGACUUGAUCACCUCUCGAACAAGCUAAGACAGCCUCCUUCCUACAACACAAGAUCGAACCAAGCAAAGAACAAUCACAAGAGCAAGAACACAAUAAGAACGCUUAAGAAAGUUUGGGAGAAUAUAUGCUUGUAUUGCUACUCAAUGCUUUACAAGUUGUGAGGUGAGGAUACACAUUGUGUCAUCCUCCUUAUAUACUUUCUCUAUCCCGCCUACCAUCAUGGUAGGUGGCUAAGAUACAAUGUCACCUACCGGCACCUACCAACUACUGUUACCAACCGUAGUCUACCUACUACUGUACAACGAAUCUGGACAUGUGGGCUAAGAGGUCUAGCAUGAUCAAUCCAACGGGUUGGGCCUUGAACAUGCGGGCCGUGACACUAGGCUGGCCUUUGUAGCGGUGGGCAUUAUUCCAAGACUAGGCUACCUUUUUCCCUGACAAAAGACCCCCACUAGAAGAGCUCUAAGGACAAAUAGGAGGGCACAAAGACAAAAUGGUCCAGCACCUUCAAAUUGGACAAACCAGUCCACUCACUGUCCUAAAUGAAAUAACUCUUAUGUCACUCACUGAGAGUGACAUUGAGCAACUCUCGUGUUUCAUGUCAUUG